GCGCGCGCAGGCGGUCUUUUAAGUCUGAUGUGAAAUCUUACAGCUUAACUGUAAGCGGUCAUUGGAAACUGGGAGACUUGAGUGCAGAAGAGGAGAGUGGAAUUCCAUGUGUAGCGGUGAAAUGCGUAGAGAUAUGGAGGAACACCAGUGGCGAAGGCGACUCUCUGGUCUGCAACUGACGCUGAGGCGCGAAAGCGUGGGGAUCAAACAGGAUUAAAUACCCUGGUAGUCCACGCCGUAAACGAUGAGUGCUAGGUGUUAGGGGUUUCGAUACCCUUAGUGCCGCAGUUAACACAUUAAGCACUCCGCCUGGGGAGUACGGCCGCAAGGCUGAAACUCAAAGGAAUUGACGGGGGCCCGCACAAGCGGUGGAGCAUGUGGUUUAAUUCGAAGCAACGCGAAGAACCUUACCAGGUCUUGACAUCCCGUUGACCGCUAUGGAGACAUAGUCUUCCCUUCGGGGACAACGGUGACAGGUGGUGCAUGGUUGUCGUCAGCUCGUGUCGUGAGAUGUUGGGUUAAGUCCCGCAACGAGCGCAACCCUUGACCUUAGUUGCCAGCAUUCAGUUGGGCACUCUAAGGUGACUGCCGGUGACAAACCGGAGGAAGGUGGGGAUGACGUCAAAUCAUCAUGCCCCUUAUGACCUGGGCUACACACGUGCUACAAUGGAUGGUACAAAGGGUUGCGAAGCCGCGAGGUGAAGCUAAUCCCAUAAAGCCAUUCUCAGUUCGGGAUUGCAGGCUGC
rnacentral:rRNA from 1 species